UACGAAGGGGGGCUAGCGUUGUUCGGAAUUACUGGGCGUAAAGCGUGCGCAGGCGGCUGCUCAAGUCAGGGGUGAAAGCCCAGAGCUCAACUCUGGAAUUGCCUUUGAGACUGAGUGGCUUGAGUACGGGAGAGGUGAGUGGAAUUCCCAGUGUAGAGGUGAAAUUCGUAGAUAUUCGGAAGAACACCAGUGGCGAAGGCGACUAACUGGACAGGUAUUGACGCUGAGGUGCGAAAGCGUGGGGAGCAAACAGG
rnacentral:rRNA from 1 species